rnacentral:rRNA from 1 species
UACGUAGGGUGCAAGCGUUGUCCGGAAUUAUUGGGCGUAAAGAGCUCGUAGGCGGUCUGUCGCGUCUGCUGUGAAAACUCGGGGCUUAACCCCGGGCCUGCAGUGGGUACGGGCAGACUAGAGUGCGGUAGGGGAGACUGGAAUUCCUGGUGUAGCGGUGAAAUGCGCAGAUAUCAGGAGGAACACCAGUGGCGAAGGCGGCUAUCUGGACGGUUUCUGACACUAAGACUCGAAAGCGUGGGGAGCAAACAGG